rnacentral:rRNA from 1 species
GACAGAGGGUGCAAACGUUGUUCGGAAUUACUGGGCGUAAAGCGCGUGUAGGCGGCCGCGCAAGUCGGAUGUGAAAGCCCUCGGCUCAACUGGGGAAGCGCACUCGAAACUGCGUGGCUGGAGUCCCGGAGAGGAUUGUGGAAUUCUCGGUGUAGAGGUGAAAUUCGUAGAUAUCGAGAGGAACACCGGUGGCGAAGGCGGCGAUCUGGACGGUGACUGACGCUGAGACGCGAAAGCGUGGGGAG